rnacentral:tRNA from 1 species
ACCUGGCUGGCUCAGUAGGUAGAGCGCAAAACUCUUGAUCUUGGGGUUGUGAGUUCAAGUCCCAUGUUGGGUG